GACGUAGGGGACGAGCGUUGUCCGGAUUCAUUGGGCGUAAAGCGCGCGUAGGCGGUUACGCAAGUCGGUUGUGAAAAUCCGGGGCUCAACCCCGGACCUGCAUCCGAUACUGCGUGACUAGAGGUAGGUAGGGGAGAUCGGAAUUCCUGGUGUAGCGGUGAAAUGCGUAGAUAUCUGGAGGAACACCGGUGGCGAAGGCGGCAUCCUGGACCAACACUGACGCUGAGUGAGCGAAAGCCAGGGGAGCAAACGGG
rnacentral:rRNA from 1 species